rnacentral:rRNA from 1 species
UACGUAGAGGGCAAGCGUUGUCCGGAAUCAUUGGGCGUAAAGAGCGUGUAGGCGGCCCGAUAAGUCCGCUGUGAAAGUCCAGGGCUCAACCCUGGGAUGCCGGUGGAUACUGUCGGGCUCGAGUCCGGAAGAGGAGUGUGGAAUUCCUGGUGUAGCGGUGAAAUGCGCAGAUAUCAGGAGGAACACCGGUGGCGAAGGCGCCACUCUGGGCCGGUACUGACGCUGAGGAGCGAAAGCGUGGGUAGCAAACAGG